rnacentral:lncRNA from 1 species
AUGCUCGUUUUCCCUUCGGGCAAAAAGGCCCACCUUCUCCAAAUGUUUCUGGAAGUCUCUCCUGCCUGGUCCCGCGGUGAGAGGAGAAGGCCACAGCACGGGAUUGCCGACUCAUCUCAAAGGACCCCCCCCUUUUGCAUUUAUAGGGGCAAGAGAAAGGUGGAGAAACACGUGCACCCCAGACCACGCGUCCCUACCCCUUGGCAGGUCACCGCGCCGCAGCCUGUCUCCCUUUGGAACCUCAGAGGCCUUGUUGCCUGUGUCCGCGGCCACAGUCCACGUGUGGAAAAUCUUCCUUUGAGCUCCUUUAAUAUUGUUUCAAAUUUAGUGUCCUCAACGUCCCUCACUACCCCGAGGGGUCCUCCGGCCGAGGACCCCCGCGCGGCCUGCGCCCCCAGCCCAGGGGGUAUCGCGGGCUCUGGGAGGGGACCUCCAGCCUGCCUGACACCCGAGGCCCCCGGGGUGCCCUGCAGGGAGCAAUGGGGUGCCGAUCUCACCGGGAAAGAGGGGCUCACUGAACAGGGAACAGGUGAGGGGCAGAGCGGGAGGCUGAUGGGCCCGCUGGCCUCGGUGUGUCACCUGCUGAUGAUUCCCAGACACUGGGUCUGCCUCAAUAACGUCGAUGGUUUGCGACGAGGUGAGAGCUCCUUUAGGGACAUUACCUCUCGGCUUCCCAGUGAGGUGACAAAGCGUGUUAUCUUUCUUCUAAAAAUAAACACGGCGACAGCAGCAGCCAGGGCACGGCGCUCAGAGCCAGCUCGCAGAUCCUCCGCAGCCCGGGGCUCAGAGACAGGACCGAGGGUCCCGGGGGACGGAGGGGACGAGGAUGCCGGCAGGACUUGGCCUCCGAGGGGGGCAUGGCACGAGGACAAGCAACUGCAAGGCGUCCCGGGAGACAGGACUGACCGCCUGACUGUUGGACCCCACGGGCCGCCACCUAACCUCCACAGCAGCCUGGUGGCGUCCAAUGGGGCCCGAUCCUGUCUGUCACUCACCGGCUGCCUGACCCUGGACACGUCGCCGCCCCCUCUGAGCCUCAGUUUCUUCACCCGCGAGAUGUGCAGAAUGACGCCUCGCACACCUGGCUUUGAGAAUGACACGCAUAGCAGACAUUCGUCCUUUCGUGUCUAUUGUCACCUGCUGUCACCAGUGACUUGCACAGUGCACAAAACAGGCUUUAAUCGGUGUUGGUCCCCGUCACCCAAGGCCAAAUUUCUCUUGGCAGUGGCUUGUCACGCCAACAUUUCAAUGGGAAGGGGGCUGGUGCGCCGGGGCCUAGCUCUCCACGGGUAG